GAUGAACGCUGGCGGCGUGCCUAAUACAUGCAAGUCGAGCGAACAGACGAUGAGCUUGCUCCUCUCACGUUAGCGGCGGACGUGUGAGUAACACGUGUAUAACCUACCUAUAUGACUGGUAUAACCUCGGGAAACCGGCUCUAAUACCGUAUAAUAUAUUGAACCGUAGUGUUCAAUGGAGAAAGUCGGUUUUUGUGUCACUUCUAGAUGGAUCCGCGCCGCAUUGUCUAGUUGGUAAGGUAACGGCUUACCAAGGGAAGGAUGCGUAGCCGACGUGAGGGGGGGAUCGGCGACACUGGAAGUGAGACACGGUACAGGCUCCGACGGAAGGCAGAGGUAGCGAAGCUACCGAACAGGGCGGAAGACUGCAGGAGCAGCGGAGCGCGAGUGAUGAAGGUCCUCGGGUCGUAAAACGCUGUUAUUGGGGAAGAACAAAUGUGUCAGUAACUAUGCGCGUCUUGCCGGUACCGAAUCAGAAAGACCCGGCUAACUCCGU
rnacentral:rRNA from 1 species